GUAACAAGGUCUCCGUUGGUGAAUCAGCGGAGGGAUCAUUACCGAGUACUAUAACUCAUAACCCUUUGUGAACCUUUAUACCUGUUGCUUCGGCGGCGCGCCUCCCGGGGCGUGCCCGCCGGCAUUAUCAGAAUCUCUGUUCGAACCCGACGAUACAUCUGAGUGUUCUAAGCGAACUGUUAAAACUUUCAACAACGGAUCUCUUGGCUCCAGCAUCGAUGAAGAACGCAGCGAAACGCGAUAUGUAAUGUGAAUUGCAGAAUUCAGUGAAUCAUCGAAUCUUUGAACGCACAUGGCGCCUUCCAGUAUCCUGGGAGGCAUGCCUGUCCGAGCGUCGUUUCAACCCUCGAGCCCCCGUGGCCCGGCGUUGGGGAUCUGCCCAGGCAGUCCCCGAAAACCAGUGGCGGACCCGUUGGGCCCUUCCUUUGCGUAGUAACAUCUGCCUCGCAUCGGGAGCCUGCGGGCUAUCCGGCCUCUAAACCCCCCUCAAGCCCGCUCCGGCGGCACCAAGGUUGACCUCGGAUCAGGUAGGAAUACCCGCUGAACUUAAGCAUAUCA
rnacentral:misc_RNA from 1 species